rnacentral:rRNA from 1 species
CGAUGUCGACUCGGAGGUUGUGCCCUUGAGGCGUGGCUUCUGGAGUUAAUGCGUUAAGUCGCCCGCCUGGGGAGUACGGCCGCAAGGUUAAAACUCAAAUGAAUUGACGGGGGCCCGCACAAGCGGUGGAGCAUGUGGUUUAAUUCGAUGCAACGCGAAGAACCUUACCUACUCUUGACAUCCAGAGAACUUGGCAGAGAUGGAUUGGCCCCUUCGGGAACUCUGAGACAGGUGCUGCAUGGCUGUCGUCAGCUCGUGUUGUGAAAUGUUGGGUUAAGUCCCGCAACGAGCGCAACCCUUAUCCUUUGUUGCCAGCGGUUAGGCCGGGAACUCAAAGGAGACUGCCAGUGAUAAACUGGAGGAAGGUGGGGAUGACGUCAAGUCAUCAUGGCCCUUACGAGUAGGGCUACACACGUGCUACAAUGGCGCAUACAAAGAGAAGCGACCUCGCGAGAGCAAGCGGACCUCAUAAAGUGCGUCGUAGUCCGGAUUGGAGUCUGCAACUCGACUCCAUGAAGUCGGAAUCGCUAGUAAUCGUGGAUCAGAAUGCCACGGUGAAUACGUUCCCGGGCCUUGUACACACCGCCCGUCACAC